rnacentral:RNase_P_RNA from 2 species
CGAGUUGGCUGGGCGGCCGCGGCACCGGUGCAAACCGGGGUCGAGGAAAGUCCGGACUUCACAGAGCAGGGUGAUUGCUAACGGCAAUCCGAGGUGACUCGCGGGAAAGUGCCACAGAAAACAGACCGCCAGAAAUGGUAAGGGUGAAACGGUGCGGUAAGAGCGCACCAGCACCCCGGGUGACCGGGGUGGCUAGGCAAACCCCACCCGAAGCAAGGCCAAGAAGGCCGCAACCUGGUUGCGGUCGCGCAGGCGCCUGAGGGCUGCUCGCCCGAGCCUGCGGGUAGGCCGCUUGAGGCACCCGGCGACGGUGUGUCCAGAUGGAUGGUCGCCACUGGCCCUCCCGGUAACAGGAGGGCCAGGCACAGAAUCCGGCUUAGAGGCCAGCUCGUUCG